rnacentral:rRNA from 1 species
AAACCGUUGAAAGGGAAGCGAAUGGAGUUAGCAAUUCGCCUCGUCAGAUUCAGUCGGGCGGGUGCCGCGACGCUCGUGUUCUCGAUCUUCGUAGACGAGACGCGUGCGGACGCGGCGCCUGGCCGGCGCACUUCUGGCGGGCGAGCGUCAACGUCGGUCGGUCACGGGUCACAAGGUCGCGGGGAAGGUAGGUCGCCGUUAACGCGGCAACUGUUACAGCCCCGCGAUCGUACGGCUCGCGAACGACCGUGGCGUCGCGACGCGUGCCUCCCCUUCGGGGGCGGGCUGGCGUCCCGUUCUGUUGGUCCGGCUGUCGACCGUGGCGGACGGCAUGCCUGUGCGCUCGAACUGCUGCCGGUCAACAGGGCGGUGAUCGCACACCACGCGCCGAGGACGUUGACGACCAUACGGCUCUAUCCGACCCGUCUUGAAACACGGACCAAGGAGUCUAACAUGUGCGCGAGUCUCCGGGUGAUCGAAACCUGUGGGCAGAAUGAAAGUAAAGGCGGCCUCGGCCGCUGAGGUGAGAGGCGCUCGUUCUGCGAGCGUCGCAUCAUCGACCGACCUAUUCUACUCUUAGAAAGGUUUGAGUAAGAGCGUGCCUGUUGGGACCCGAAAGAUGGUGAACUAUGCCUGAAUAGGGUGAAGCCAGCGGAAACACUGGUGGAAGCUCGUAGCGAUUCUGACGUGCAAAUCGAUCGUCGAAUUUGGGUAUAGCGGCGAAAGACUAAUCGAACCAUCUAGUAGCUGGUUCCCUCCGAAGUUUCCCUUAGGAUAGCUGGAGCUCGGAUGCAGU